rnacentral:rRNA from 1 species
CCUACGGGUGGCAGCAGUGGGGAAUAUUGGGCAAUGGGCGCAAGCCUGACCCAGCAACGCCGCGUGAAGGAAGAAGGCUUUCGGGUUGUAAACUUCUUUUAAGAGGGAAGAGCAGAAGACGGUACCUCUUGAAUAAGCCACGGCUAACUACGUGCCAGCAGCCGCGGUCAUACGUAGGUGGCAAGCGUUGUCCGGAUUUACUGGGGUUAAAGGGCGUGUAGCCGGGCUGACAAGUCAGAUGUUAAAUUCCGGGGCUCAACCCCGGACCCGCAUUUGAACCUGUUGGUCUUGAGUAUCGGAGAGGCAUGCGGAAUUCCUAGUGUAGCGGUGAAAUGCGUAGAUAUUAGGAGGAACACCAGUGGCGAAGGCGGCCUGCUGGACGACAACUGACGGUGAGGCACGAAAGCGUGGGUAGCAAACAGGAUUAGAUACCCCUGUAGUC